rnacentral:lncRNA from 1 species
GAUGUCCGGCGCCCCCUGGGCAACCAGGGUCUAUGCCAACCCGUCGUCUUGCUCAUCCGGUGUGCCCUGAGAACGAGAUAUGUGCAGCUCCUAUCGGGAUUUGUCGGCACAUCGGGCGGCUUUGCUGGUCUUGUUUUACCAUUGUCGAAAUGUCUUGAUGUACCGGGAUACCGAGUCUGAUCGGAGUGUCUUGGGUGAAGGUCUAUUCCUUCGUUGAUCGCGAGAGCUUGUCAUGGGCUAAGUUGGGACACCCCUGCAGGGUAUAAACUUUCGAGAGCCGUGCCCGCGGUUAUGUGGCAGAUGGGAAUUUGUUAAUGUCCGGUUGUAGAAAACCCGAAGUUGACCUUAAUUAAAAUACAUCAACCGUGUGUGUAACCGUGAUGGUCUCUUUCCGGCGGUGUCCGGGAAGUGAACACGGUGUUGGAGUUAUGCUUGACGCAGGUUGCUAUAGGAUCACUUCUUGAUCAUACUUUUAUCGACCGUGCUUUGCCUUCUCUUCUCGCUCUCAUUUGCGUAUGUUAGCCACCUUAUAUGCUAGUCGCUUGCCGCAGCUCCACCUCAUUACUACAUCCUUCCUAUAAGCAUAAAUAGUCUUGAUCUCGCGGGUGCGAGAUUGCUGAGUCCUCGUGACUCACCAGAUACUUCCAAAACCAGUUUGCAGGUGCCUAUGUUACCGAGCAGGUGACGCAACCAAGCUCAAGGAGGAGCUCGAUGAAGAUCUUGCCCCUUUGUGUUGUUUCGUUCUAGUUGAUCAGUAGUGGAGCCCAGUUGGGGUCGAUCGGGGACCUUUGUUGCAUUUGGGGUUCUUCUUUUAUUUUGGUUCCGUAGUCGGACCUUGAUUGUAUCUGGAUGAUGUAAUGCUUUAUUCAUGUAUUUGUGUGAAGUGGCGAUUGUAAGCCAACUAUGUAUCUCUUUCCCUUAUGUAUUACAUGGGUUGUGUGAAGAUUACCUCACUUGCGACAUUGCUUUCAAUGCGGUUAUGCCUCUAAGUCGUGCUUCGACACGUGGGAGAUAUAGCCGCAUCGAGGGCGUUACAAGUUGGUAAUCAGAGCCUUCCCCGACCUUAGGAGCCCCACUGCUUGAUCGUUUUUAGCGGCCGAGUUGUGUCUAGAAAAAUGUUUUGAGUCAUUUAGGAUUAUAUAUAUCGGAGAGUUUAGGAGUUCUUUUUACUCCCCAGUCCCUUCGACCUUCUGGUAAGGCAUCCUGACGUAGAGUUUUGACUCUUCUCUUCUCAAAUUUCACUAAAUUUUUUUUAGGAUCAUGCGGGUAUCUUGGAAUUGUUCCGAUGGUUUUAUGAUGACAACAUUGUCUUGGUGCCUCCAGUCAGCAGGGGUUUUUUUUGGAGGUGUCCCGGGGAGUUGAGCUCUGAGGUGUUGUCGUCAUAAUUUUAUCGUUGCAGUUCUGGAAUACCUGAGUUUAGUACGCCGACAUCGAAAAUCUCUUUUAUGCAGUUGUUGGUGAGAUAACCCCGCUAACCCAGUACUGAGGUGAGUACGGGAGUAUUGCCAUGACUCGUAUAACGGAUGCUUUUCGAAGGUUGAGGUACACGAUUUCCGAAGGUUUCUUGGUUAUGUGUUGACGGAUGGAUACAGCUGGAUGUAGGGAUUGUUAGUUUGGGUGAGAUAUAUUGCUUCCCCUGUAUCCCCAACACCAGAUUGCAUAACCAGAAAGUUUCGGGAGUUUAUAGGUGGGAAUUCAAGUAGUUCCUAGAAUAUAUUUCCGACAAAUGCAUGAUAUGGGAUUGGGUAAAUCUCUAUCAUAUGUAUUUGUUCCGGCUUAUUCUGCAAGCCAAUCCUUUGUUUUGUUUUAUUUGUGGUAUUCGAGUUGCUUCAAAGUCAAAUGUUGAAUCCAUACCUUUCCUAAACGGUGUUCUCAUAUUGCUAUGUGAAUACUAAUCCUUUUUAAUCAUUGAGGUUGUCAUGUUAAUCCUUUUCCAACCGGUGCGCUUCUCUUCGAGAUGAUCCCAUCAUUCUCCCCAUCCGCAAGACCAAUUAUCAUUUCUUCUCAACGGUAUUUGUUUCAUCCGUCUCCAAGUUGCCUUUGUUUUUUUCCGCCCACCCACCCUUUUUCCUCAAGGACUAAGAUUUCUUUAUCAAGUAUCCUUUUAUUUUUGUGAAGUUUCUCCAUUCUUUUCCGUCAAUGUUCUUACCCGGUGGUUCUCAAGAAGAUGUUCUACUACUUCGUCAUUCCUCAUUCAUUUCUCUUCUCCGGUGGAUUCAAGUCAAGUUUUGUUGAUCAUACCUUUUUCCUCAUUUCAAUGUCUUCUCAUACCGGUGCACCUAAUUAUCAUUCUUCUUGCUAUUUGUUAUUCCGGAGUGCUCAAGAUAUCUCGAAGAUUCGUGUUUCCACUCUGCAUUCGUUCAAGCUCUUUCGAGAUUGUUAUCUCAUUCAAGCCAUUUAAUUCAACCGGUGCAACAUCUCUUUUAAAUCUUUUCAACGGUGUUCUUUUGAGUGGGCCCUAACCCACAGGUCUUUUCCCAGGAUCUUACCUGACUCUUCUAUUUUCCCAGAGCUAUCCUAAAUUCUUCUCCAAGUUUGACGUAAGAAUGAGUUAUCAUCAGUCAAAUGCUUUUCUCCAAGAUCUUUCAAAUUCUUUUCAUAGUUGGCUCAACCUCUUCGCUUUUGAUUCUUCCGGUGUGCCUCAAUAAUUCUUGGUGGUGUUUCUCGUUGUCAUUCUCAUCAUUUGAAGGCUGAAGAAGAGUUUCUCUUUAAUCUUGCUCUAUUCUCUUCAAGAUUCAUGGUGAUAGCUUGUCGCCAUCCUCUAAUAAUUCUUUUCGAUUGUGAGAUUUUUUUUUCACCCAUCCGGAGCGUUUUAGGAGUCUUUUCAGUUUCAUUCUUUGAAGCCCAUCAUCUCAAUUUUAUUCAUUCAAGCUUUCAGCUCUCGUUCUCCAAAUCAUACCGGUGCAUCAUUCAAGUAUUCUCUAAUCAGCUCGUGAUCUAUUCGUUCAUUUGCUAAUUCUUACCGGUGAUGCACCCCUACUUCGAUUAUUUUCAAUUCUUACGGUGGUUCUUUCAAGAUCUCUCUUCCUUGUUCAUCAUAUCAAUUCAUUUGUUGUUCCAAUCCUACCGGUGGUUCGUUCAAGAGUUCUCUUCCUUCGUUAUCAUAUAGAUUCAUUCGUUCUUUCCAAAUCCUACCGGUGGUUGUUGAAGACCUUUUUAAAGUUUACGCCAUAUCUCUCUUAAUCCUUUCUACGAGAAUAAGUAGUAUGCCAAAUCCGUUGCUUGUCAUCAAUUUAAAUUGGUGAAGGAUACGCAUAACAUAAUUCUUGUUCUUGUUUCAUCAAAGUGAGUAAUUCCUUUUUUCGGAGUUUGUUCAUGAUGAAUGAAUUCUCGGUUUCAGUUGUUUCAUCUUCUCUUUUUCCCGGAGUUCCAAGCUCUAAUCAUCAUGAAGAUCCAUCUAAAUCUUUGCAAGGAUUCACCUUGUGUUUUCAACUUCUCUUCUUCUCAUCAUCCUUUUAUUACCAGAGUUCUUCAUGGAGGCUCUACAUGAUGGUUCGUCAAGGUUUCUUUUCAUUCUUCAAUUGUUCUUCAAGAUUUCUCUUGAAGUUGUGACCCGUCAAGCUAUACUCUAAAAUAAACAUGGUGCUCAACACAUGUUUUGUUUUGAGGCGUUCAAGUAUUCUUCAUCUUGCAUUCCGAAGUGCGAUUCUUUCUACCUUAUCUUCUGAGGUGGUGUUAGGUCAUUCUUGAUAAUUUUCCCUUCGCGUUUCAUGAUUCACAAGUUUUCAAGAGUGACAUAUUUAAAUCCAUCUUUUUCUCUUUGUUCAAGAGAUCUUUUCAACUGUCAAUCUCUUCAUUGGAGUUAUCUGGGUAUAGAUUUCACCUAAAGCCUUCCCUAAGGAAUGUUGCUAUUUUGGUGCUUAUUAAUGACCCAAGUUAUCUCUUUUCCAUCUUGAUGGAACAAGAUUUCAUCUCUUCGUUAAUCUCAAGCAAGAAAUUGUUUCCGUUUGUGGUUGGUUGUCACCUCAUCAUUUAGAGAUGUUUGCCAUAAGCCCACAACAAGCUUGUGCUUUUCGUUGUUGAUUUUCCAACAACUCCGUUCAAUUCUUAUUUGCAAGGAUGCUUUCCAAGCUCAUUUGUGGUAGAAGUUGUCAUUUCCCCCUCCAUUCUGCUAUUCCAGGGAUCUAUCUUCUAUUCUUUCUUCUGGAGGCAUUGUGAUGUUGCUCUUUUCACUCAUCAUCUCGAAUUGUGAGGAUCAUGUUCUUUUCUUGCUUAUCCAUUCAACCGGAGUGUUGUGUUCUCAUUCAAGUUUUUUUCAUCUUAUCAAGUUUUCCUUCUUCUUUCAGUCGGAGUGCUGCUCAAAUUAUAUCAAUCUUAUCCCUUCUCUAUCUUGUUUUAACCGGAGUGGUUUCGAAUUCUAUCUUGUCCAUUAAACUCUUGGUUCGUCUCUUUGCAAUCUUCAAGUUCUCGUAAUGUUCCUUGUUCCUCUUUUCUAACGGAUUGUUUGCAAUCUCGUUCUUCUCAGUUGUGCUCUUUCUUUUAAAUUUCUCAACCUCUCAAGGUUCGUGGUUUCACUCGUUCGUCAAAGAAGCAACUUAGUUUUACCUCUUCUCUUUCUCUUCCGUUUUUCCUAUGUUGCCAUUCUAGAUCUCGGGACGAGAUCCUCUCAUAGUGGUGGAGUGUUGUAACGCCCCGAGACCGACGCUUCAGAAGACUUCCAGCUACUCCGAGUUUCGUCAUGUGAUUUGUUUUGUUUGUUGCUUUCAUCUUUGCAUCAUUUGCAUUGCAUCAUGUCAUCAUGCCAUCAUUUCAUUAAUUUUAAACCUCAACUAAAUAAAUGGCAUGGAUCUUUGGUCCAUUUAAAUAGAGGGAAUUCACUCAUGAUUUCUCUUUAUAACAUAUUAAAGCCUCUCAAUAGGGAGCUAUAAUAAAAUUAUUCCAUUUAUUUGGAAUUAACCAAAACACACUUGCAAAAUAAUUUCGUUCCUUUUCUGCUUCAAGUUUGGUCUCCAACUUGCCCGUAAAUUAUUUCGUCAUUUUCCGGAGCUCCACCAAAAAUCCGAACAUUUUUGGACCUUCCUUUUAUCAAGUCCUAGUUCAAACCCAUUUGAAUUAAAUUCAAAUGAGUUUGAAUUCUUAUCUUUCAAUCAUGGCCUUUCUAUUUUUCUUGGAACGAGCAUAUUUUUGUGAGUCCAGGGAAAUUAACCCCUUGCACAUAUUCUUUCCCUAACCCUUUCUUUCUUUCCUUCUCUCUAUUUCUUUUCUGUUAAGAAAAAUAUGAGAGGAAGGGAGAGAGAGAGCCUGCACCCAACAGCCUGGGCCUUCCAACCUCCCGCGCCGGCCCAUCCAUCCCUAAGCCCGCAUGGGCCAAGGCUCUCCCACCGGCCUCUUUAGGCCCAGCCGGCCCCAGCACCUAACCCUAGCCCGACUCCCAUCGGUCUCCAUCUCUCCCUCGUCCUCCUCCAGCGCCGCUACCCCGUGCCCGAUCCCCACGCGCAGGCUCGACCCCCCUCGCUCGAUCUCAUCUCCCUCUCGUCCCUCUGCCCGCCGCCGCACUCACACGCCGCAUCGAGCUCCCAGUGCCCGAUCCCCAUCGCCUCCUCUUGUCCCUUGCCGCGCAGCGCCUGACCCCCUCGCCGAGGCCAUGGCCGCCGCCGCACCUUCUUCCCUUCCUCGCCAUCGCCGCCCUGGCGAGCGCCGCCCCAACGCCCUCCAUGCGACGCCUCCCUUUCUCCUGCUCCUCUGCGACACCCUGCUGUCACCAAGUCCCGGCCUCCAACGCCAGGAUCGGCCCCGAGCUACUGCGCCGCUCCGACGACCCCAUCUUCGCGCCGGGCCCCGAUCUGCUCGAGCGCCACCCCGCCGCCUCGCGCCUCCACCUCCUCGCUGGUCACCCGCAGCUCGCCGCGCCCUGCUUCUCCUUCCCUGCCUCCACCGCGAGCCCACCAUGGCGCCCGCAGCCAUCCUCUUCACCCCGCGUCCCCACCGGCUCCCGUCGCUGGAGUUCAUGCCCAAGGCCGCUGCAACCUCACCUUCGGCCAUGCCUUGCUUUCCUGUGCUGUUAUUCCCUGCACGCCAAGACCACCCCCGUGGAUUUUACCAAGUACCACCGUGACCCAUGUGCGACUAUGCGGAUUCACCAAGUACCCCUCCAGCAAGACCGACGCCUGAACAAGCACACCGGCUCUGUGGAUUUCGGCAAGUCCCUCCGACGACCGGCGCUUAGUACCACUAUGUUUGCCAUGUACAUCUACACCAAGACCGGUCCGACAAGUACCACGACGUCCGUGAACCACUACCGUUGUCCCGAAGAUGUUGGAUUCGUCAAGUACCUCUCCGAAAACGAACGUGUACCACUACUUCCACGACGCUCGUGAACGUCUAUCUCCACGACGACCCGUGAACGUCUACGAGAUGUACCACUACCGUCGACCCGUGAACGUCUACUUCCCUCUACAAACUCGAUCCGCCCGAAAUGCACGCUUCGAAGGUAUAACACCGAGAUGAUGUCCGUGGACCGAAUGCAUGUUGUAUGAGAUGCCCGUUUUUGCAUCGUGUCCGUUUGUCACUCGUUUCCAUGCCACUAUCCCGUGGGAACCCGGAAGCUGGGAGCACCCCACUAUCUUGCAUGACUUGUUCACGCCUCCUUUUGCGCCGGUAUCUCCGUGAGCUACCGGAACCGAUAUGUUGCCGUGGCAUCAUUUUCGGAUAUGUUGCCGUGGCAUCAUUUUCGGAUAUGUUGCCGUGGCACCAUUUUUGUUUCGCCGCCGUGGCACCCUUUUCGUUCCGCCAUGGUGACCAAAUGCUCCUUAUCAUGCUCAUGUCAACAUUUUCAUAAAAAUUGCAUAGAACUUGCAUAUGUCAUCCGCAUCAUGAUAACAACAAUUAAAAUGUUUAAAAUUUGUUGUUGCAUUAAAUUGCUAAAUAACAUAUGGGGAUUUCCGGAAUUGUUGUUUCUUGUUUCCGGCCUCACUUAAACUUGCCUAAAUUGUUAGUUUAAUUAUGCUUCACCCUCUUGCCAUGUUAACCAACAUUUAAUCUUGUCUUGUUCAUAACCGAGAGAAAAACUAAAUAAUUGAUGUGGUGUUUCGUCAAUAGGCAACUCGUUGCAUAUUGAGCUCCACUUAACUUGUAGUGUUGUUUGUUGCAUAUUGCCAUGCCAUGCCUCUUUAAACCGGACAUACAUCAGACUUGUUUGCGCAUCAUGCCAUGUUUAUGUGAUGGUUGUUUACUAUGUUGUUUGUUUCUUUCCGGGUUGCCUCUCUCGUUAGCUUUGGUUUCGUUCCGGAGUUGUGAGGAUCCGUUCGACUUCGUUUGUUUGUCUUCUUCAUGGACUCGUUCUUCUUCCUUGCGGGAUUUCAGGCAAGAUGAUCAUACCCUCGAAAUCACUACUAUCUUUGCUAUGCUAGUUUGCUCGCUCUUUUGCUAUGCCAAUGCUAUGAUGCCUACCAUUUGCUUGUCAGCCUCCCAAAUUGCCAUGUCAAACCUCUAACCUUUGACACCAUUCCUAGCAAACCGUUGUUUGGCUAUGUUACCGCUUUGCUCAGCCCCUCUUAUAGCGUUGUUAGUUGCAGGUGAAGAUGAAGUUUGUUCCUUGUUGGAACAUGGAGAUGUUGUUCCUUGUUGGAACAUGUUUACUUGUUGGGAUAUCACAAUAUCUCUUAUUUAAUUAAUGCAUCUAUAUACUUGGUAAAGGGUGGAAGGCUCGGCCUUAUGCCUGGUGUUUUGUUCCACUCUUGCCGCCCUAGUUUCCGUCAUACCGGUGUUAUGUUCCCGGAUUUUGCGUUCCUUACGCGGUCGGGUGAUUUAUGGGACCCCCUUGACAGUUCGCUUUGAAUAAAACUCCUCCAGCAAGGCCCAACCUUGGUUUUACCAUUUGCCUACCUAAGCCUUUUUCCCUUGGGUUCUGCAGACUCAAGGGUCAUCUUUAUUUUACCCCCCGGGCCAGUGCUCCUUCGAGUGUUGGUCCAACCUGAGCGAUGUCCGGCGCCCCCUGGGCAACCAGGGUCUAUGCCAACCCGUCGUCUUGCUCAUCCGGUGUGCCCUGAGAACGAGAUAUGUGCAGCUCCUAUCGAGAUUUGUCGGCACAUCGGGCGGCUUUGCUGGUCUUGUUUUACCAUUGUCGAAAUGUCUUGAUGUACCGGGAUACCGAGUCUGAUCGGAGUGUCUUGGGUGAAGGUCUAUUCCUUCGUUGAUCGCGAGAGCUUGUCAUGGGCUAAGUUGGGACACCCCUGCAGGGUAUAAACUUUUGAGAGCCGUGCCCGCGGUUAUGUGGCAGAUGGGAAUUUGUUAAUGUCCGGUUGUAGAAAACCUGAAGUUGACCUUAAUUAAAAUACAUCAACCGUGUGUGUAACCGUGAUGGUCUCUUUCCGGCGGAGUCCGGGAAGUGAACACGGUGUUGGAGUUAUGCUUGACGCAGGUUGCUAUAGGAUCACUUCUUGAUCAUACUUUUAUCGACCGUGCUUUGCCUUCUCUUCUCGCUCUCAUUUGCGUAUGUUAGCCACCUUAUAUGCUAGUCGCUUGCUGCAGCUCCACCUCAUUACUACAUCCUUCCUAUAAGCUUAAAUAGUCUUGAUCUCGCGGGUGCGAGAUUGCUGAGUCCUCGUGACUCACCAGAUACUUCCAAAACCAGUUUGCAGGUGCCUAUGUUACCGAGCAGGUGACGCAACCAAGCUCAAGGAGGAGCUCGAUGAAGAUCUUGCCCCUUUGUGUUGUUUCGUUCUAGUUGAUCAGUAGUGGAGCCCAGUUGGGGUCGAUCGGGGACCUUUGUCGCAUUUGGGUUCUUCUUUUAUUUUGGUUCCGUAGUCGGACCUUGAUUGUAUCUGGAUGAUGUAAUGCUUUAUUCAUGUAUUUGUGUGAAGUGGCGAUUGUAAGCCAACUAUGUAUCUCUUUCCCUUAUGUAUUACAUGGGUUGUGUGAAGAUUACCUCACUUGCGACAUUGCUUUCAAUGCGGUUAUGCCUCUAAGUCGUGCUUCGACACGUGGGAGAUAUAGCCGCAUCGAGG